GAGUUUGAUCCUGGCUCAGGAUGAACGCUAGCGGCAGGCCUAACACAUGCAAGUCGAGGGGCAGCACGUCUUCGGAUGGUGGCGACCGGCGCACGGGUGCGUAACGCGUAUACAAUCUACCUAUCACUGAAGGAUAGCCCGAAGAAAUUUGGAUUAAUACUUCAUAGUAUUAUGAAAUCGCAUGGUUUUAUAAUUAAAGGUUACGGUGAUAGAUGAGUAUGCGUCCUAUUAGCUAGAUGGCGAGGUAACGGCUCACCAUGGCUACGAUAGGUAGGGGUCCUGAGAGGGAGAUCCCCCACACUGGUACUGAGACACGGACCAGACUCCUACGGGAGGCAGCAGUGAGGAAUAUUGGUCAAUGGACGCAAGUCUGAACCAGCCAUGCCGCGUGCAGGAUGACGGUCCUAUGGAUUGUAAACUGCUUUUGUUACGAGAAGAAACAUCCCGACGUGUCGGGACUUGACGGUAUCGUAAGAAUAAGGAUCGGCUAACUCCGUGCCAGCAGCCGCGGUAAUACGGAGGAUCCAAGCGUUAUCCGGAAUCAUUGGGUUUAAAGGGUCCGUAGGCGGUUUAGUAAGUCAGUGGUGAAAGCCCAUCGCUCAACGGUGGAACGGCCAUUGAUACUGCUAAACUUGAAUUAUUAGGAAGUAACUAGAAUAUGUAGUGUAGCGGUGAAAUGCUUAGAGAUUACAUGGAAUACCAAUUGCGAAGGCAGGUUACUACUAAUUGAUUGACGCUGAUGGACGAAAGCGUGGGUAGCGAACAGGAUUAGAUACCCUGGUAGUCCACGCCGUAAACGAUGGAUACUAGCUGUUGGGCGCAAGUUCAGUGGCUAAGCGAAAGUGAUAAGUAUCCCACCUGGGGAGUACGUUCGCAAGAAUGAAACUCAAAGGAAUUGACGGGGGCCCGCACAAGCGGUGGAGCAUGUGGUUUAAUUCGAUGAUACGCGAGGAACCUUACCAAGGCUUAAAUG
rnacentral:rRNA from 1 species